GCCAUACAGAGGGAGCAAGGAUCAAAGAGGGAAGGGAAUCUAUUACAGCAACUUUGGAGAACAGGGACUGUCUGAAUGGGUUGUCCUCCUGCUCAGCGGAGCUCUGAACCAGGAUACACUUCCCUGCAGCAAGCACUUGACCCAACUCACUGAAGCCAAUGGAAAGAUCAUCAGUUAUUUCAACAGGAGUUGGAUCCGAUUCCCAGUUAGCCAGUGGGUGGUCCUGCAUACAACAAAAGUAGGUCUCAUAUGUGAACAAUAUCCAGAGUUUCUAAUGUACAAUGAUUAAAAACAUCACCUACAACCACUUUCCCUCUGGCAGAAAAUACUAGUGAGAGUAAAAGAAACAGUUCUACAGGCUGGGAUUUACUUUGCCAAGACCGCAGACUGAAAGAUAACAGGGAGACCUUGUGGAGUUCCAGCUAUUUGCAGCCAUCUAGGUUUGGUUACCCAUGUAUUAUCCUGCCUAACUCCAAGGAGUUAGUCAGUGGAGGAUGCCGGAGGAAAAACCAACAGACAACAAAACAAUGGCAAAGAUGAAGUACAGUCCAGAGAAUAUGGACCUUGAGGAAACCAUGGGGAAGCUAUUGAUCAGAGAAUUCCCCGGUUGUAUCCCAGCAAGCUGGGCAUGUUUAUUCUUCCCACGCUGGAGCCCAGGAG